AGAGUUUGAUCCUGGCUCAGGACGAACGCUGGCGGCGUGCCUAAUACAUGCAAGUAGAACGCUGAAGAGAGGAGCUUGCUCUUCUUGGAUGAGUUGCGAACGGGUGAGUAACGCGUAGGUAACCUGCCUUGUAGCGGGGGAUAACUAUUGGAAACGAUAGCUAAUACCGCAUAACAAUGGAUGACCCAUGUCAUUUAUUUGAAAGGGGCAAAUGCUCCACUACAAGAUGGACCUGCGUUGUAUUAGCUAGUAGGUGAGGUAACGGCUCACCUAGGCGACGAUACAUAGCCGACCUGAGAGGGUGAUCGGCCACACUGGGACUGAGACACGGCCCAGACUCCUACGGGAGGCAGCAGUAGGGAAUCUUCGGCAAUGGGGGCAACCCUGACCGAGCAACGCCGCGUGAGUGAAGAAGGUUUUCGGAUCGUAAAGCUCUGUUGUAAGUCAAGAACGAGUGUGAGAGUGGAAAGUUCACACUGUGACGGUAGCUUACCAGAAAGGGACGGCUAACUACGUGCCAGCAGCCGCGGUAAUACGUAGGUCCCGAGCGUUGUCCGGAUUUAUUGGGCGUAAAGCGAGCGCAGGCGGUUUGAUAAGUCUGAAGUUAAAGGCUGUGGCUCAACCAUAGUUCGCUUUGGAAACUGUCAAACUUGAGUGCAGAAGGGGAGAGUGGAAUUCCAUGUGUAGCGGUGAAAUGCGUAGAUAUAUGGAGGAACACCGGUGGCGAAAGCGGCUCUCUGGUCUGUAACUGACGCUGAGGCUCGAAAGCGUGGGGAGCGAACAGGAUUAGAUACCCUGGUAGUCCACGCCGUAAACGAUGAGUGCUAGGUGUUGGAUCCUUUCCGGGAUUCAGUGCCGCAGCUAACGCAUUAAGCACUCCGCCUGGGGAGUACGACCGCAAGGUUGAAACUCAAAGGAAUUGACGGGGGCCCGCACAAGCGGUGGAGCAUGUGGUUUAAUUCGAAGCAACGCGAAGAACCU
rnacentral:rRNA from 1 species